rnacentral:lncRNA from 1 species
GGAGAUCUUGCAGCUAUCCCAGCUACAAACCAAGUCUGCAGCGAAACAGACAGCGGCAAUGCUUGGAAAGUACAUUAUGAAGACACUUCCGCUGCAGCUUCUUUCAACAGAUAGAAAACAAAAUGAUGCAAAUAUUCAUCAAAAUCAACAAACUACUACAAGGAUAUAUAUAGGACAAUGAUUUGAUUCGUCAUUCUAACUUGAUCUUGUUGUCUUCCAACCAAAACGAAGACAAAGUGUAUUACUAGUGUCUCUAUACAGUUACUUCAAUGUAACUAAAUCAAUCAAAAUUAUAUUCAGUAAUCAUUUUCUUUGUUACUCUCUGGGAAAACACUAAAAUUAAAAUAGUCAACUUUUAAAUUAGAAAAAACAAAACAAAAAAUUAAAAUCUCGUGGAAAACAAGAGAGGACAAGGACCUCAAAAAAACCAAACAGUCUAUUAGUUCUGCUGAGCUUACCCGUGUGACCACACAGCGAGACAGCCUGGUUCAAACAUCCGCCACGUGUCAAAUAACCCUGACACUUUGCGGCGUUUUACUCGAGCACUACGCACAAACGCGCUUUUGACACUCGUUUCUUCUUCACGCGCCGUACAAAGUCAAAAAUUCAGUUUUCAACUCCUCUCUCUCGUAUAUAUAAACCCUAAAGCGGCAAACUCUAAUUAUUCAAUUCAAAUAAUAACCAAAACGAACUCAAAGAGUUAACUGAAGAGCAGAGCUAAACCAAAAAUAGAAUCGUACCGUACUGAAUUGAAUUGAACCGGGUUGGUUUGUUGUUUCGGUUUAAGUGAUGGAGGGACCGUCGUCGUCGUCAAAGUACAAAGGAGUGAGGAAGAGGAAGUGGGGGAAGUGGGUUUCAGAGAUCAGA